AGAAUAAGUGCUACAAUUAGUAGCCUGAAUAUUUUGCUUUCCGAGUAGUGCCUCAUUUGAGGCACUUUUUUUAUGCC
rnacentral:ncRNA from 1 species